UGAGUAACACGUAUCCAACCUGCCGUCUACUCUUGGACAGCCUUCUGAAAGGAAGAUUAAUACAAGAUGGCAUCAUGAGUUCACAUGUUCACAUGAUUAAAGGUAUUCCGGUAGACGAUGGGGAUGCGUUCCAUUAGAUAGUAGGCGGGGUAGCGGCCCACCUAGUCUUCGAUGGAUAGGGGUUCUGAGAGGAAGGUCCCCCACAUUGGAACUGAGACACGGUCCAA
rnacentral:rRNA from 1 species